CCAGGACCAGCCAGCACCGUCUCUUUGCAGGUAGCUCCAGACUGUGUCUCAGUCAUGACCUCCCAGAUUCAUCAGAAUUAUUCCACCGAAGUGGAGGCUGCCGUGAACCGCCUGGUCAACUUGCACCUGCAGGCCUCCUACACCUACCUCUCUCUGGGCUACUAUUUCGACGGAAUGAUGUGACUCUGGAGGGUGUAGGCCACUUCUUCCACGAAUUGGCCAAGGAGAAGCGAGAGGCUGUGCACUCUUUCAGGAUGUGCAGAAGUCAUCUCAAGAUGAGUGGGGUAAAACCCAGGAGGCCAUGGAAGCUGCCCUGGCCUUGGAGAAGAACUUGAACCAGGCCCUCUUAGACCUUCAUUCCCUGGGCUCUGCUCGCACAGAUCCUCAUCUCUGUGACUUCCUCAAAAACCACUUCCUGGAUGAGGAGGUGAAGGUCAUCAAGAAGAUGGGCAACCACCUGACCAACCUUCGCAGGUUGGCUGCUGGGCCCCAGGCGUCUCUGGGCGAUUACCUCUUUGAGCGGCUCACUUUCAAGCAUGACUAGGAGGCCUCUCCUUCUGAGGGGCUCCCACCUCUGCUCUGCACCAGCCAGCCUCAGGACCUUCACCCCAACCUCUCAGGAAGCCACUAGGCAGCUUUGUAACACCCUGGAGCCCCUCUCAAGGCUU